rnacentral:lncRNA from 1 species
AUUUUUUUUUAUUUUACUAAGCAAAGUUUUUUAGUUAAGGAACAAUUUGUUUCGGAAAAGUAAGACAAGCAAACAAAAAACAAGUAAAAACACGAGCAAUAUAAAAGAUUGAAGUAAAAAUUUGUUGGGUCCGUCUUGGCAUAUUUAUCGACUGCAUUGCUGCACUGCUUAUUCUUCUAGGACGCAUUGCGCUCCAACAGCUCUAGAAAGCGGUUUCUCUUUGCUCGGAAUUAUCAUCAUUGUUCGGGUGCACCACCAGGGUCGGGAACCAAGCGCGAAACGUGAAGUAAAGAAUUACCGAUAAGCCGAUAAAAAGUAGAAUUAUAAAAACGAUUAAAAAGCCAAGCAUUAAAUCGCUCAUUUUACUUCACUUUUUCACGAAUUUUUAAGUGAAAAUAACGCAAGCGCAUUCUUGACCUUGCUGUUCUUUGUAGCGCAAGUAUGCAUUCAGUGGUGUGGCAAGUCUGUCGUUUAUUGCACCGUUAUGGCAAACCAGCAAAGGUAGGCAUUUGCCAAUUCGGCAGUUUUAUUUUCAUCAAAAGUGUGAAGCAAGUGCGGGAAAUCUCUCAUCGAAUACACCGUUAUGGCAAAAAACAGACGUCAGCGUAACAAUGACAAUGUGGAUAAUCGUCCUUGGUCACAGAAAAUCAAUGAUUACCUCUAUAAAAAAUUCGAUGAAAUAGAUCUAUUCGAACUCUUGACCGUGUGGGCCUUUUGCGUGUUGCUUUUCAUGGCUUUCGUUGUAUUCCUCGUCUGUAUGUUAUUUAUCGCACAAUCGUCGUUGUACAACAUUGUAACGAGCACGCCGGAGGCAUUGUUGGAGAAGGAAGACAUACUGUAAAAAUAACAGUUGUCCAGUGGGGCAACCGCUGCCGAUCGCCAUGCGCAGGGCAAACAAGAGAACGCACUAAAUUUUAAUUAGCAAUUAUUUAUUUUAUUUUAUCAUAAAGGGUGCUUAUUACGCUUAUUUGUAGAUUUAGUGAGCUGUGCAUAUUUUUUAGUUAAGCGCCUUUUUAUCCUUUUUAAUUUAAGUUUUGUGAAAACUGUGUUUAAGUUUGUCUAUGUGUAUGUGAGAAAUUAUGUUAGGCUAGUUUUAAAGUAAGCCAUCCUAAAUUAAAAGUAAAAUUAAAGCUGUAAUUAAUAAAAAAUGAUGAUCACAAAGUACCUAAUCUCACUA